rnacentral:lncRNA from 1 species
GAAUUGGUUCUUAACUAUAUACAGGGUGGUUCUCGGUGUGGGAUGGCCAAAAUGAGAGGGAAGGCUGGUAUCGGUUGAACACUACCGGGGGGGAGGCUUCUGGGGGCUCACGGUUGAGAGGCUGGAAAUGAUUUUGAUUUUUGUUUGGACUGUGCGAAGAAGGAUUGUGAUGGUGGCUGAUUGGGAGUAGAAGAGAGGAUGGGUUUGAUUGACUGGUGUGGUUGAAAGAGCGGGAAGAUUGGGAUCGGUUUUGAGAAGGUGGGCUGGAAGAUCACCGCUGUGUUGAUGGUGGUUGUGGGAAAUUGAUUGUGCUGGUUGUGGAACUGGGUUUUUUCAGUGUUCUUUCUCUGAUGGUGUUUGUUUUGGGUGAAUGGAGAGUGACUGGGUUGGACGUUGGUGGUCGGGAUUUUGUUCAGAGAAGAAGAAUGGGCUGACUUUGGUGGAUUUUAUGGAGGAAAGGUGGGCGUUGGUCUUGGGUUAAUGGAAAAGGGUGGAGCUGUUGUGUUUUCCAGAAACCUGAGAGUCUGAGACCAAGAAUGGUGUCGAGAGACAGUGGAG